AACGAACGCUGGCGGCAUGCCUAACACAUGCAAGUCGAACGAGACCUUCGGGUCUAGUGGCGCACGGGUGCGUAACGCGUGGGAACCUGCCCUUAGGUUCGGAAUAACUCCCCGAAAGGGGUGCUAAUACCGGAUAAUGUCUUCGGACCAAAGAUUUAUCGCCUUUGGAUGGGCCCGCGUUGGAUUAGCUAGUUGGUAGGGUAAAAGCCUACCAAGGCGACGAUCCAUAGCUGGUCUGAGAGGAUGAUCAGCCACACUGGGACUGAGACACGGCCCAGACUCCUACGGGAGGCAGCAGUGGGGAAUAUUGGACAAUGGGCGAAAGCCUGAUCCAGCAAUGCCGCGUGAGUGAUGAAGGCCUUAGGGUUGUAAAGCUCUUUUAACCGGGAUGAUAAUGACAGUACCGGGAGAAUAAGCUCCGGCUAACUCCGUA
rnacentral:rRNA from 1 species